CUGCUUCUUUUGCCGCUUGUUUCCAUAGAGGGAACUGGUGAGUUUAAGCAGUGUUGCAGCGGUGAGGCCUGCCUGACGCCGAGGGGUCGGGGCAAACAGACUCAACCAGUCGACUGGCGGAGUCUCCACCGUGGACCGCUUCUGUUUUUUAUUACUUUCUCUCAAGUGUGUUUUCCCUCGCCGGAGAACCUUUUUGGCUCCAUGAGAUUUCCUCUCACCUUUAGGCAGAGCUUCAUUUGAGGGCUGCUCUUUUUUAGUGGGAUUGGAUGCAAGGGAAUCGGCCCUGUAGAGCAGCAAGCUGUUGACUGCCUCUGCAUUGAGAGAGGCCAUUCUCCUCCUGCGUGGCUCAGUAACAAGCGGCGGCCACAGGAGUCCUGCUUCUUUUUGACUUGCCUGCUUGGUUCUUUGCAAGUUUUCCGCAAGUCUUUGCCUAAAACUCUUUUCUCUUCCAAACGGAUACUGCAUCUACGACAGUGGUUGGAAUUCAGAGCGGCCCGUCAACAGGAAUCAUCAUGAGUCAUCAACUGAUGCCAUCCAAUCUCUGGAGAAAGACAAAAGCAGGAGAUCACAGAUUAUUACACUCGUAAGAAUCUUUCCCUGAUGUUAAUGUAACAGACAUUGAUUAUUUAUCAACGGGUUUGACUUAAUUUGCGGCCAAUUUCUAGGUCCCGUGACGACUACUGGGCUUGAAAUGUAAAUGCUAUACCCAAAUGCAUUACAUUAGGGUAUAGUUUAACGCCUCGGGCCAUAUGGUCUCCUAUUUUUCACUGCUGUAGUAGUUAACGUGAAAUAUGUCCACAUUAUCUCACAAAAGUGUGUACAUCGGUCCCAUUUCAGCAUGUUUUCAAGGGGCAAUAUUUCAAAAAGGAUAUUUAAGUAGGGUUGCAACUAACGACUAUUUUGAUAAACGACCAAUCAUCAGUUAUCUUAAUCAGUAGACGAGUCGGAUUAUGAAGUAUAAACCUAUUCAGUUUCAGUGGCUUUAAUUUAGCAAUCUGCUUUUAAAUUCAGCUUAAGAUAUUUUUAGGCAUGUGUUUACUAACAAAUACGACUAAUUCAUUCAGGAAUAUUUACUCAAACUGUAAGUAUGCUGCUCAUUAUGGUGUUCCAAAAAAACAAAAUUAUUAAUAAUCCUUUGUCAAUUUAAAAGCACGGAUUGGCCAAGUGCUGACAAAAAAACUGUAUAUUUUUUAAUGAAGAAACAACGGUAAAAACUGCAGCAAUUAAAGAGAACAACAAACACUAAAGUUACUUAACUUCCUCAAAAAUAAAAAAGCAUUUUGUGACGAUGUGUUUAAAAAUCUGAACACAGGUAUAUUAUUGAUUAAAACUCCUAGCAUUUUUAGCAAUCUAAUAGACUGCACUUUGGACUAACUGAGAUUGCUAUGAGUCAUCAACAGCAGUACAAAGUGGAGAUGCACGGUCUUGAUUCAAGAUGCACUUCAUCUUCGACAUCAAUAAGACAGGACGCAUAUUGCUAAGAAGACUGAGUGAUCAUAGUCGUGACUGGUGACCAAGGUUUUGCAGAACAACACACGCCUGUGAUUUCAGCACAUGGAAGCAGAGUUGUAUCCAUCCAUCCAUCCAUUUUUAAAGGCUUUUUCCUUUCGAGGUUGCGUUUCUUUUUUCUGUAACUUAAAGGAGUUACCCAGUAUGUGACUAAAUAUUUCCAUGUUGUGGUUGUGUUUUACUUGCCUUGCUUAGCAUCCUACGGGCUACCAGUGAGCACUGUAAUCCACACUGGAACACAUUCAAGGCUAUCAUAGGGGUGUAAUGGUAUUAGCAUCCUACAGGCUACCAGUGAGCACUGCAAUCUACCCUGGAACAUUUCAAGGCUAUUAUAGGGGUGUAAUGGUAUAGUAGAUUCCGCUGUAUUUUGGUUUCCAAGUCUUCACAAUAAUACUGUGACGCCGGACGAUAUCAACCUUGGUGUAGUUUUUUCUGGCCUUUUAGCGGAGUUUGAAAAUAAACUACAUUUCCCCAGAACGCCAUAUGCAAGAACUGAAAAGUGUUCAUAGUCGAUGAGAGAAAUUGUUUUUUUUUUUAGACAUUCCCUGAAAAAUGUCAUCAUUAUCUUUAUAACUAUUUGAUUCAUGUUGCUAUUCAGACAAACUAACCCUUGCAAAAACAUAACCUAUUUGGUGGAGGUAAGAAAGUCUGCAUUCUGCAAAGCAAUAUUUUCACCUCAAGCGUUUCCAAGGCAACACAGAGCUAGCAUGUCAUGUUGCACUUAAAAAUAAAUGUAUGUAGUAAUAAAUGUGAUUAUAUUUUAGCAUUAUGUGUGUCUUUCAUUACAGUAAGUGUGUUUAUCAUAAACAUUCCUGCCACUUAAUUUUACAAACUAUAAGAUGUUUUUUUGGUGGGGGAGAAUAUAUACUACAAUAAUAUCGUACCACCGUGAAAUUUGAUACCGUUGGGUGAAAGGGGUUUAAAUCUUUACUUCAACGCCACGCUCAUUGAAUUGAUGUCAUAUCCACAGCUGCAGUUCAUAAGAGGUAGGUUAUGAUAAAAAGGAUUCCAUAUGUCAAAAUAGGCCCUGCGAUGAGGUGGCGACUUGUCCACGGUGUACACCGCCUUCCGCCCGAAUGUAGCUGAGAUAGGCACCAGCGCUGCCCGCUAACCCAAAGGGAAUAAGCGGUAGAAAAUGGAUGGAUGGAUGUAAAAAUAGAAUAGUUAUAACGUGAAUGCAAAAUCCAGGCAAAGACCAUUCACUUUAACAGACUUCUCCAGCCAAUCAACUUCAGAGUCAUAGCCCUAAAAACUAGCAAAUUCCAAAGUCAUAUAAUGCUGAAUUCGAUCGGAAAAUACACGCCUAAAAGAUACACAAACGGUCAGCUCAGCAUCAUGCUCUGUAAGCCGUAUUUCUUUGACAUUUUUUCACGACUCGCUGUAUUCUAAAAGAGCAACUAGUCUCAAUAAGACUUUUAAGAGGUGUCGAGGGAAGAAGAAUGUAACAAAAUUAGAAGAGUACACAUUGAAAGCUGUAGAUCAGGGAUAUUUGACUAAAUUGUUUUGGGGGCAAGGUUUCCAAAAAGGUAAGAACCGGGGGGCCGGACAUUUCCCUUCACUAAUAGUCCUAUUUUGUAUAUCAUAGACAUUAAAUUGUGGUUUAUUGAUUUUUGUCAGAGGUACAGGAACACUCUGCUGUUUUCAAGGGCACUCUGCAAAAAAACUAGUCAAAGAUCCUCACAGCAUUUUAAGAAUAUGCUGCAAAAAUGUGUCCCUCAAAGUUGAAUAGCCCAAAUGAUGAAAAAAAAGAGAGGACCAAAAAUAGAACCUUCAGGAAAACCACUAGCAUAACUAAAGAAGUUAAAUAACUACUUACUGCAUCUGAAGUAAACAUGUUACGGAAACACCAGUAUGGUGUCAUACCUGGGUGGGAUGUGGCCCUGGGCUGCCAGUUAAAUAGCCCUGCCUUAAUGUAAAGAAAGUAGUGUUCAUGAAUCGAUGACCGUAUACUAAUCUUUACAGAGCUUGACAUUUUUCCACACUUGGGUGUUGUUUGAGGAAAAAGUAGACCGGAAGAUUGCCUUCAUCAUUAAGGUCACACGUUUUCUCAUUAAAAGUCACUUGACUCAUUUUUGACAGUGUUAAAAUGUCACCUUACAACUGUCUGCUCAGUUAAUAAAUGUUGAACUUUGCCUUUUUCCAUUUUUUUAAUGAGGAACACAUGCUUAGGAGGUUCCCAUAUUACUUCAUAUUGGGGGACGGCAUAGCUCGGAUGGCAAAGCAGCCGUGCUAGCAACUUCAGGGUUCCAGGUUCGAUUUCAGCUUCCACCAUCCUAGUCAUGUUUGUUGUGUCCUUGAGCAAGACACCUCACCCUUGCUCCUGAUGGAUUGUGGUUAGGGCCUUGCAUGGCAGCUCCCGCCAUCAGUGAGGGAAUGGGUGAAUAAGGAAAUAGUGUCAAAGCGCUUUGAGUACCUUGAAGGUAGGAAAGCGCUACACAAGUAUAACCCAUUUACCAUUUCAUAUAGAGACAUUGUCUCUAGAACAGACUUCUUUACCAUUCAAGGAAAACACUUUCCUUUUGCCAAAUACUUUAUCAGGGUCUCUGCAGGUCAAAUUUAAAGCGGAACUGCACUUUUUUGGCCUUUUGCUUAUUGUUCACAAUCAUAAGAGACAAGAACACGUCUUUUUUUUUUUAAACGAUUAAAAAAUUAUUAAAAAAAACGCUUAAAAGACGUGGCAAAUGGGAGUCACCAUUUUAGCCUUCAAAGGUCUCUAAAACAACAUCAAAACCCUACAACAACGUUGUAUAUACAUACUGCACGUCUAUAUAUAAUGUAGUAACAGACAUGUUCAUAACAAUAUGUAAUAUGUAAAAUUUUUAUCAAAUUUGGAUAAACAUAAUUAUUUCCUGGACUCAUUUAUUCCACACAUUGAUUUCCAUUUCUAUAGCAGCGCACGUCUAACUUCUGACAAUAAAUGUGUGUUACUAUUUCCGGAAUCAAAUGCGAGUUUGUGUUCUAAUCAUGGCAGCCUUGGUAAAAGACAACCAAGACUACUAUUUUUGGACAAUUGAGGAUUUACAUCUUUAUACUUUUAAAGCUAAAUAUACUGCUUCUUAAAGAAGCGAGCACAAAGGUAGAGGGAGAUGAAAGCGAUUGACGCUGUAAAUAUGGAACUUGGAGACGAGCUCUUUAGACAUAAAUGGAUUGCUUACCCAAAAUCAACAGGAAACGUUACCCAGCCAGCUGGACCAGAAGAACAACUGCCCAUCGAGUGAGACAAUUUAAUAUCGAUCAUGAUACACGCAGCACAACUUGCGCGUUAGUACAACUACAGUACAAACGCUGUCUGGAUAGCUCAGCUGUGUACGAACAAAACAUGAUAUGUGGGCUAAUACUUUAGAGAUAUUCUAAUAUGAAUGUUUAUGUUUUUCAGUCAGUACAAAAUGGUGUCGUGUUGUGCAUUACAAACUCAAACGUCUUUCAUUUUGUUGUAGAAGCUAGCUGAUCUCUUUCAAUAGUUAGCUUUUACGGGUAAUACAGACGCACCCUGAUGUGUUAUGAUGAUAGAAAAAUAGUUCCUCAAUGUUUGCUCUUAAAAUAACAAUGUCGCUACAGCUUGGUUAUUAUACAGGCUAAGGAAUGUCAAUUAAAUAUUGUUGAAGGUUUUUGAAUGAUUUUUAAAGUGAUUUAGAGGUAGAAUUGAUUGCUUCCAAUGGCUGCAUUGCUAGUCAACUAGAACGAGCCGAUUUCCGUAUGUUGGAAAGCGAAAAAAAUAAAAAAUAAACUUCUGUUUUCCUGUCUCUCAUAAUAAUUGUGAACAUCUGGGGGAAAAAAGUGCAGUUCCCCUUUAAGACUUUUUCAAGACCAUAUUGAAAAUACGUUAAGACAAUUUCAUAUCCAUAUGAACAAAAAAAUACAAAGAUAUAAAAGAAAAUCAUAGGUAGUAUAUGAAUUAAUUGGCUGCUUUUUCAGAUUGGAAAACAAAAUGGUAAAACUAACUAAAUAGAUUAGAAGCUUCUCUUUUGUAAACUAAUUGGAAAAAAAUUAACACACAUCAUAGCAGUCCUUUUUCAGAUUUGCAGUAAAACUGUUUUCCUGCGAAAGGUGCAGUGUGCUUCGUAUCAAGUGUUUUCAUGUAACAACAACCAGAACGUCAGCAAUGGUAGAGGAAAGCAAAACAAUAUUUUGUCUGUGAAAGGGACUGUCAGCAUCUCUGCUAAGGCUAAUCGGUUAACUUUUGGAGUGUUUUUGCGGCUGUCAUAAUUGAGCAAACAGAUUAAAACUUUACAAUACUACUUCUGUAUCUAGCCAAAGUUGAGAAAAACAGAAUGCAGACAGAGAGAUUGUCUAAAAAGAAAGAAAGCGAUUAUGGCUUGCAAGCCUUAGAUCAAAUUUGGAUGUGAAUAAUAUGAAAAACAUUCAAAUUUCAGCUCAUUUUGUUUCUGGUAUGUAUAAAUGCAUUUUUACAUUUGUUUUGUGAUCAUUUUUUUGAAAACAUAUUGCUAAUAAACAACAGCUAGUUUUUAUUCAAUCAUAAUAAGAUGACAUUCUCAAUUGUUCCUUUCUUUGUUCAGCCUACUUUAAACUGAUUGUAAACAAUGAACAGACAACCUUUAUUUAUAGCGUAUAAUGUCAAUUGCUGUAUAAACUUGGAAAAACGUUUAGGCAUGAGAAGCUGACCUGAAAUUAUUGCAAUAAAUAAUGAUUUAUGAGAAUUAUGUUGUUUUAUAGUUUUACUUCUGUGAAUAUACUACCAUGAUUUCACUACCCCUGUGCAAUACUACCCUUCGAGUGCAAUACGUCCGACACUGAUUGUUAUUUAUUACUUCGGUAAUCUUGUCUUGUUCUGUAUAUUGUACAGUAUUUUGCAUUUCUAUAGUGUUUUUUACAUUGUACAGGAUUGCUUAUUAUUUUAUUGGAUAGUAGUCUGUUUAUUUGAAUUGUUAGAUUUUUUCCUUUAUCACCUCGUGUUAUUUAUUUCACCCCAUAUUUGUUUCCACUACCGCACCUUAAGUUGGAGUCUUUAAUCUCGUUAUAUGCAAAUAUAAUGACAAUAAAGUCCAUUCCAUUCUAUUGUAUUCUAUUCUAGUAAACAAACAUCUCAUAAUGAUCUCCUUUGGCAAUUGGCGCCACUUUACCCAAAUAACAGUCCUGGGGAUGUGGGGGGUGGGGUUAAAUUGAUCCUUGUAUAGUGUUUGUGACGUUUCAGCAUCUUUUGACACACACUUAUCCUGGAAUUUUGACUUUUACAUUAUCAUUCCAUUCACUGUCACCGCAAUGUUUAAAAUCCCCAUCACACCUUCCCGUCUCGAUGGCUCCACAUCCGGGUCCUAAAAACGUUAUACGUUUCCAUCCACCGGUUCUGGAGCUACCAAUCAUUGAACUUGCACUUACCUAUUUAAUGCAUGUAAUUCGGCAUUGCUACGGGCAUUUUUUCGUUUUUUUUCCACUGCUCUGUAACAACACACCACUGCAAGCACAACACACUUGGUAGUGGGCGAUAAAUGCUGACCGGGCAGCAACAGUAUCCUACUAUAGUUCCAUUUUGUAGCUAUGUAUAUCGUACUCAAAAAUCUAAACAUUUAAAGCCAGACUGAAGUUUAAGAAUUUUUUAGACACAAGUAACAAUAGAUUUUUAAGACCUUUCAAAAUCGAAUUUAAGACCUUUUAUGAAAUUUUAGGAGCAUUUUAAGACAUUUUAAAGACUUAAAUUGGUGGAUUCAAGACUUUUUAAGACCCCGCUGUUACCCUGCAGCCUUAAAAGACAAUUAUACCACUUUCUGUCAUUAUGUCUUUUUUUAUCAGUUAGUAUAUAGUCAUUGAGCUUUCACCAUAUCUGCAAUUCCAAAGAACAUACUACUUAUAGAAACGCCCAUAUUGUAGUCAAAUCCCCUUAUUUGGAUGCAAGUAGUGCAGUCCAUUUUGAUUUAAUUGUUUGAAGACACAAUUCAUCAACAAUAAAUUCUAUACAACUGACAGAAUUCUUAACUACAAAUGAGUCGCUUAAUCGAUUAUUACGCCCAUCUGUAAUAACUACAACUCAUUUUACUGCAAUCAUUAAAUAGGGUGGCUUCCAAUUACCUUGUAAUCAGCAACAGCCUUGUGCGUCUUCAACUGCGAUUGCUCGAAUUGCCAAAGUUGAUAAAAGUAUUGAAACAUUGAGUGACUCCAGAGUGGCCAGAGGCUUCCGACUCGACUGUUUUGCAACCAUGUAAUGGCUCAAAUUGCUCUUAUUCUCAAACGACUCUGUGAACCGUGAAAUGUAAUUCAUCAGGGAGAAAUGUAAUUUGAAGAUAAAAAACGGGACAGAAGGAGCCACGCAUUGAGUUUCUGUCUGUGGAUAUCAAAUCAAGCCGCUUCGUUUGAAUGAGACAGACAUGCACAAUGGAAGAACAGGGGCUCAUUGACAAGCAUCAUUUAUCUACUGAAAAAGAUGUCAGUACCACAGUGUAGUUGUAGAGACAAUGGAUAUUAAAGGUCUCCACAUCCCUGUUUCUUACUAAUGUUAAACCACAUUUACUACUUACUGGCAAAACAAUACACUUAUUUUUUAAUAGUGCAGUGUCACAUGUCUGCACACCCUCAAACUAAUAUUUUGUGGAAGCACAUAUUAAUUUAAUUAUAGUCUACGUCUCGGAGUCUAUCAGCAUUUUUCCAGUCAUUCAUGCAAAAGUGCUCACAAUCAGUCAGAUGUUGAGAGGCAGUUGGAUUUACGAAAGAGUAUUGAGGCAAACACUAAAAUAAGAACAUUAAAAUAAAGUACUGUACAUUUUUAGUUGAGUUUAUUCAAUAAUCUAGCAUAGUGGUUUUAUCAAAUGAAAUUAUAGUGGAAGUGGGCCAUAGAGGGUACUUCAACAUUCGAUUUAAAUAUGUUUUACAAACAUUAUGAUUAUCAAAAUCAUUGAUUUUUCAACCAUUAAGAAUGCAACGAUUCGUCGACAUUGGCUACGUAAAUUGACCAAAAAAUUGUCGCUGACAAAUUCAUUUGUCUACAAUUGUAGGUGACAUCAUCACUUGUGCUUUUUGCAGACGGAAGCGAGCCACCAUGGCAACUUGCAACAACAUAGUAGAUGAAAACAUGUAAAGUGUGGGAACAUCCAACUAUUCAUUUCUACCGCCUGUACCUUUCGGGAUCGCGGGGGGCUGAAGCAUAUCCCAGCUGCACUCGGGUGGAAGGCAGUGUACACCAUUGACAAAUAACCACCUCGUCGCAGGGCCAACACAGACAGACAACAUUCACACUCACAUUCACAUAUUAGGGCCAAUUUUGUGUUGCCAAUCAAGUUAUCCCCAAGGGGCAUGUCUUUGGAGGUGGGAGGAAGCCGGAGACCAUGAAUUGAUUAACGUGGACCCCAAAUUAAACAAGUUGAAAAACGUAUGAGUGUCACCAUUUAGUGGUCAAUUGUACGGAAUAUGUACUGAACUUUGCAAUCUACUAAUAAAAGUUUCAAUCAAUCAAUCAAAAAACCCUCACCGUCACAUGCAAACUCCACAAAGUUUCUAAACCCGGGAAUUGAACCCAAGACCUUCUCGCUGUGAGGCACAAGAGCUACCAACUGCCGCACAGUGCUGAAGUGUGGUAACAUGUCAUUUGAAUUUUAUAAAAAACAUAAAUAGUGUGCUCAUGUUGCAAAGCAGACCUUGUACAUCUGUAAUACGGGAGCAUUUAGAGAGGAGGUAUGAUGUCAGACAUCUGGAGGAUGUGUAAGAUAGUUGGCUUGUUAUCUUGCUAGCUAGUUAACAAGUGUGUGUCGAAGUUGGGUGCAAAAUAUAUUCAACUAUAGGGUUGUAACAGUAUUGUAGAUACAGCUGUAUUGCCGUUUCAAAGUCUUUACAAUAAUGCCGUGACAUGUGAUGGUAUCAAACAAAAACUUGGUGUGUGGCUUUUUUUCUGGCGGAUUUGCAUUGGUCAGGCCUGAAAAUAGACUACAUCUCCCAGAGUCCUGUGCGCAGCGCAAGUCAAGAAAGGUGGGAGCCGUGACAGCUCUGCAUGGAACGCCGUAAGCAGGAAGUGAAGUGUGUUUGUAGUAGGGCUGGGCGAUAUGGACGAAAAAGUAUAUCUCGACAUAUUUUUUUAACUUAAAAUCGAUAUUUGAUAUAUAUCUUGAUAUAUUUUCCGGUGAAAAUAUACAUACAAAGAUGGUAAUUUUUGAGCGAAAUUCACUGAAAUUUAACUCAAGGACAACUGUACUGUAAACAGUCUGUUGCUCUUUUAUUAACCCAGCUAGUCAAGAUGAAUACAAUUGAAAAACAAAGAAUGUAUACAUAAAAUAGAAAAAUAUUUUUUCUACAUAAAAUACUGUACUACAGCUGUGCAAAUAAUACAAAAUGUAUCAAACUUAGAUAAAACAUAAAUUUGCAGGCAGGCACUUUUUAAUUCCCAGUCGACGAUGUAAUGGACUGUCACACGCAGGUACGGUUCUGUGGUCAGCGCGAAGUAAGGGACUUUACUUAAUUGUGCGGCUAUGAUCUUCCUCAUUUCGGCGUACAUUUUUUUGCAGCAUUUUUCAUGCAAAAUAUGCCCUGCUUGGCAACUGGUAACUUUCAGCAUUCAGACAGGUUAGAUUUUGGCUAAAACUUUCAUAUUUGUCAUAAUCAGAGGCAAGUUUUGAAACACAAUUUUUUUUUUUAAUAUCAUAGGGUACAAACAAUGUUUAUUCCAUUAGCAAACUUCCUUUAUCUGAAUAGCCAUUUGUGAUUUAUAACAUGAAAUAACAAAUAUCUUGCAGUCAUAUUGUUUAUGUUUCAUAGUGAUUCAACUAUUCCUUGUCAAAAUAUAAACAGUAUGUAUAAUUAACAAAUGUCAGCUACUGUCUUACUAGAGCAAAAGUCAUCAAAUGUGUGUUGUUAAAUGUGAAUUCUACGUCUUCCAUGUCGAGAGCAGUUUUGAUUUGGGUUUACAUGAUAAACAACUAGAAUGAAUGUUUUGGGCAUUGUUUUAUCCAGACGCAUGUAGUUGUCCAAAUGGGGCCAAGUAGACGCAUUGUGGGUUUCCUGGAUGUUGUUUAUACAUCGCUAAAAGAAAAAUCGAAUCUGAACCAAUUGUGACUCUUCACAGUGAACCAACCAACCAAUCAUGGAUUUUCUUAUACAUAAACCAACCACUCAUCAUUGAUUUUUCCCUUAUAUGUUGUCCCCUGCCUGUAAAGUUGCACUAGUCUCUUCUCCCUCUCUCUUCUUUUGUAGCAUGGGUCUAAAAAUAGCUUAAGUACGGAAAUCGCUACUUGUUUAAAAAGUAGCAAAACUAAAACCGUAGUUUUUAACACUGUGGCCGUAUACCGGAAUGGAUUAUGUAAACCGUACUCAUUAUGGGAAAGCCUUAGUUGUUGGCAGGUAUGCAGAAGUUUGUGUUUUACUUACUAAUCGGUGCCUGGCACACGUGGUGCUGGUGGCACAGUCAGACUCCAUAUUUUUAUUGAAGAUUGCUUGAAUAUUGAAAAUGUGAGCAUAAAAGGUUUCCUUUUGUUAAUUCAACUUAAUGUGUUGGUUGCCUUUAUUCAUAUAAAAUGUGAUUGCAUUGGCCAUUAAUUGUUGUUGACUUGCUUGUUUGUAUCCAUAAUUUAUUUAUACCUAAUUCACUUACAAGAAAUAACAGGAAUAUAGGAAACUUCACCUGCAGUGUCCAGUAUUGAGUAUUUAUUCCACAGUCACACUGCUUGAUUUGUUUUGCCAAAAAGUUAUUGAAUUGAUUCCAACUCACUUAAUCAUUUCGUAUCGUACAGCAGUGGUUCUCAACCUUUUUUCAGAGAUGUACGCCCUGUGAACGUUUUUUUAAUUCAAGUACCCCCUAAUCAGAGCAAAUCAUUUUUGGUUGAAAAAAAAAGAGAUAAAGAAGUAAAAUACAGCACUAUGUCAUUAGUUUCUGAUUUAUUAAAUUGUAUAACAGUGCAAAAUACAGCUCAUAUGUAGUGGUCUUUCUUGAACAUUUUGGAAAAAAAGAUAUAAAAAUAACUAAAAACUUGUAAAAUAAACAAGUGAUUCUAUUAUAAAUAAAGAUUUCUACACAUAGAAGUAAUCAUCAACUUAAAGUGCCCUCUUUGGGGAUUGUAAUAGAGAUCCAUCUAGAUUCAUGAACUUCAUUUUAAAUAUUUCUUCACAAAAAAGAAAUCUUUAACAUCAAUAUUUAUGGAACAUGUCCACAAAAAAAUCUAGCUGUCAACACUGAAUAUUGCAUUGUUGCGUUUCUUUUCUCAGUUUAUGAACUUACAUUCAUAUUUUGUUUAAGUACUAUUCAAUAAAUAUAUUUAUAAAUGAUUUUUGGACCGAGAUUAGCUGGCUAAAAAUGCAGUGUGGAAUGAGAUAGAUAACUAAAUAAAUAAUAAAUAGUGCAGU